rnacentral:rRNA from 1 species
UACGGGGGGGGUAAGCGUUGUUCGGAAUUACUGGGCGUAAAGGGCUCGUAGGCGGCCAACUAAGUCGGACGUGAAAUCCCUCAGCUUAACUGGGGAACUGCGUCUGAUACUGGAUGGCUUGGAUUUGGGAGAGGGAUGCGGAAUUCCAGGUGUAGCGGUGAAAUGCGUAGAUAUCUGGAGGAACACCGGUGGCGAAGGCGACAUCCUGGACCGGUAUUGACGCUGAGGCGCGAAAGCCAGGGGAGCAAACGGG